GAAAGAAUGGGACUACAAGUACAGCAUUUGAAGACAAACACCUUGACUGUGGACAAUGGAGCUGAACAAUUUAUCAAACGUAGCUGAUUGUUGGCUUCCAUACAAGAACAGCAUCGUCCCAGAACUAAAUCCAAUCAGAAAAUAAAUCCGUUUCAACGAUGCGUGUUUCAAAGAAGGAACAUUACUUUGGAGACCACAGAAGGAUGGCUAAUUAUUACAGAGCACCUGAAACUCACAUCAGGCAACAUUUAUCAUCCAGACAGAUAACUCUGCAGAGGAGUAGGGCACGGAAUUAAAGUGAAGCUGCUUUCAGAAAACAACAACGUUGCUUUGGAAGUUGGGCAGGAAAGGUGUGCUGUUGGUGAUGUCACAGUUACUAGCCAGUAUGCCCCCAUUACAAACUUAACAGAAUCUUCAGAUGAGGAAUUGGCUUUUCAAACAUUAACUGACAACGUUUUACCAAAUAUAUUGCCAUGUUGGUUGGAAAAACAUGCAACCCAAUCCUAUUGACUCAGGCGUCAGUCCCACCACAUUCAACAGGCUUUGCUGUCAGAGAUGCCCUCAAGAAAUUUCCAAUGAGCUCCCAGGAACGCUGAAGAUACGCAGAAGCAACGAGGGAAUAACUUGGACAUAGUAUGAGUGAACUUUUUCACAUGCACUAUGGAAAGUCAAAAGAACGAAUGAGGGAUGUAAUCAGUGUGAUCGUUUUGGGGGGCAGCUUUACAUAUUGUGAAAUAGUCUCGAAAAUAAAUCUUUGGACACUUAAAAAAAUAUUACUGGUAUAAAUGUAACAGAUUGUAUAAUGAGACUGCAUCAACGUGGCCAAUGCGUCAUCAAAAGAUACCCUAUGAACAUUGUAAAUACUAUCAGGUGGAAAGGAAAGGAAAGGUUAAACACAUACAUAGAUGCUUUUUGUUUUCUUUUGGGAUUCCUAUCCGUGUGUGUUCACCGCUAGUCACCUAGAGCACCAUCAAACACCUUAAGAACUACUGGAAUGCCUUCUAUUACUGGGAAGCUACCAGGGAUUGCUGGGUUGUCAAUUAAGUUUUCCCCCUUAAAACAAACCUCCUUUAGGUUGUGCCAAUUGAGGGAAGAAGCUUCUAUUGAGAACUCCAAUGGGAUGAGAAGAAUUUUAAUUACGGCUUAAUCAGCAGCACAGCCACCAAGCAUAAUAAAUUAUCAUGCACAUCGUGCUAAAAAUAUCCAGUUUUCUUUAUUCCCACAACGUUUAUACUGACAGCACUUAAGUGAUAAUGUCAUACCUGCCACUGCCAGGCUAUAAAACCCCUUUCCUUUUUACUGGCAGAUCUCAGCAUCUGAGCCCCUUUCUAAGGCCUUUAACAGCAUUGGUGCUUUGAAUACUUAUCCAAAUAUGUAAAUAUGGUCUACACAAGAAAACAGUUCCAAAUAAAAACUGGUGAGAAUUAUCUGACAUUCCAUUAAUGUGUCCCUUGUGCAUAUUCAUAGAACUUUUUUUUUUUAAAAAGAAAAAAUAAUAAUCAGUCAUAGUUCCUUUCCUGCUUGUCUUGCACAUGCCUAAUUCCAUUAUGUAACUUAAAUCCUCAAAAAAAUUAAUACUUGAAUGUGAAUGAAAAAAGUAUCAUUCAGAACAAUUGCUUCAAGCAAUUGCAAAAAGGUAUACUUUUCUUUUAAAAGUUCAUUUGUAUAUAUGUACAAUUCAUUUUUCCCCAAAUCCCCAAAGUUCUUGAUAUGUAUAUUCACAUAAUAUUCCUCCAUAUUUAAAUAGUAAGAGUCUUGUAGGUUGAAAGCCAAGUCAAGUCUUCUGUAAUUAUAACCCACUGUAAUCCACCAAAAAAUAAAAGUUUGUUUCAUCUUGUCUGGCUAUA